rnacentral:rRNA from 1 species
AGAGUUUGAUCCUGGCUCAGGAUGAACGCUGGCGGCGUGCUUAACACAUGCAAGUCGAACGAGCCUUCGGGCUAGUGGCGGACGGGUGAGUAACGCGUGGGAAUCUGCCCUCAGGAGGGGGAUAACGGCCGGAAACGGCCGCUAAUACCCCAUAUGCCGAGAGGUGAAAUGAAUUUCGCCUGAGGAUGAGCCCGCGUCUGAUUAGCUAGUUGGUGGGGUAAUGGCCCACCAAGGCGACGAUCAGUAGCUGGUCUGAGAGGAUGAUCAGCCACACUGGGACUGAGACACGGCCCAGACUCCUACGGGAGGCAGCAGUGGGGAAUUUUCCGCAAUGGGCGAAAGCCUGACGGAGCAACGCCGCGUGAGGGAUGAAGGCCUCUGGGCUGUAAACCUCUUUUCUCAAGGAAGAAGACAUGACGGUACUUGAGGAAUAAGCCACGGCUAAUUCCGUGCCAGCAGCCGCGGUAAUACGGGAGUGGCAAGCGUUAUCCGGAAUUAUUGGGCGUAAAGCGUCCGCAGGCGGCCUUGUAAGUCUGUCGUUAAAGCGUGGAGCUUAACUCCAUUUCAGCGAUGGAAACUACAAGGCUUGAGUGUGGUAGGGGCAGAGGGAAUUCCCGGUGUAGCGGUGAAAUGCGUAGAUAUCGGGAAGAACACCAGUGGCGAAGGCGCUCUGCUGGGCCAUAACUGACGCUCAUGGACGAAAGCCAGGGGAGCGAAAGGGAUUAGAUACCCCUGUAGUCCUGGCCGUAAACGAUGAACACUAGGUGUCGGGGGAAUCGACCCCCUCGGUGUCGUAGCUAACGCGUUAAGUGUUCCGCCUGGGGAGUACGCACGCAAGUGUGAAACUCAAAGGAAUUGACGGGGGCCCGCACAAGCGGUGGAGUAUGUGGUUUAAUUCGAUGCAACGCGAAGAACCUUACCAGGGUUUGACAUCCUGCGAAUCCCUUGGAAACGAGGGAGUGCCUUCGGGAGCGCAGAGACAGGUGGUGCAUGGCUGUCGUCAGCUCGUGUCGUGAGAUGUUGGGUUAAGUCCCGCAACGAGCGCAACCCACGUCUUUAGUUGCCAGCAUUCAGUUGGGCACUCUAGAGAGACCGCCGGUGAUAAACCGGAGGAAGGUGUGGAUGACGUCAAGUCAUCAUGCCCCUUACAUCCUGGGCUACACACGUACUACAAUGCUACGGACAAAGGGUUGCAAGCUCGCGAGAGUUAGCUAAUCCCAUAAACCGUGGCUCAGUUCAGAUCGUAGGCUGCAACUCGCCUACGUGAAGGAGGAAUCGCUAGUAAUCGCAGGUCAGCAUACUGCGGUGAAUACGUUCCCGGGCCUUGUACACACCGCCCGUCACACCAUGGAAGUUGGCCAUGCCCGAAGUCGUUACUCCAACCCUUGUGGAGGAGGACGCCGAAGGUGGGCUGUUGACUGGGGUGAAGUCGUAACAAGGUA